rnacentral:rRNA from 1 species
AGCGAACGCUGGCGGCAGGCCUAACACAUGCAAGUCGAACGGUAACAGGUCUUUGGAUGCUGACGAGUGGCGAACGGGUGAGUAAUACAUCGGAACGUGCCUAGCAGUGGGGGAUAACUACUCGAAAGAGUGGCUAAUACCGCAUGAGAUCUACGGAUGAAAGCAGGGGAUCGCAAGACCUUGUGCUACUAGAGCGGCCGAUGGCAGAUUAGGUAGUUGGUGGGAUAAAAGCUUACCAAGCCGACGAUCUGUAGCUGGUCUGAGAGGACGAUCAGCCACACUGGGACUGAGAAACGGCCCAGACUCCUACGGGAGGCAGCAGUGGGGAAUUUUGGACAAUGGGCGCAAGCCUGAUCCAGCAAUGCCGCGUGCAGGAUGAAGGCCUUCGGGUUGUAAACUGCUUUUGUACGGAACGAAAAGCCCCGGGUUAAUACCCUGGGGUCAUGACGGUACCGUAAGAAUAAGCACCGGCUAACUACGUGCCAGCCGCCGCCGUAA